UUUUUUCUUUCUCUCGGAUAACAUACACACACUUCUCCCUCAUUCCACACACACACACGCACACACCCUCCGUCUACAGAGAUCGGAGAUCUCUCUUCUCCCAAACACACACACACACACAAAGAGAUCGGAGAUCUAUCUUCUCCAUUCUCCGAUCUCUCUUCUCCCUUCUCCGAUCUCUCUUCUCCCAAACACCCACAUACAAAGAGAGAUAUCCGAUCUCUCUUCUCCCAAACACACACACACACACACACAUAUCUCUCGAUCUCUCUUCUCCCUUCGCCGUUGAUCGUGGCUCUGGCGAAGUCGGAGUUGGCUCAGUCGUUUCUGGCGGUGCGCCGCUGAGCAAGGAUCACGUUCAAUCAUCUGGUUCGUCUUCGUCUUCGUCAGGUUUUUGGGACGAAAUCGGCCCGGGAAUAGGCACACCGUCUCCGGCGUUCUUCUCCGACGUCGCCUCGGAGUCCGAUUGCACCAAACUCAAAAAAAUUCGCCGAUAUUUCGAUAAUAUCGCGAUAUUUGGCCGAAAACCAUUCGGAUACCACUUAGAAUAUCCAUCCCCCGAAAAACCGAUAAUAUCGGCGAUAUUUCGCCGAUAUUAUCGGCAUUUUCUUCCAUGGUUGUAACUUGUAUAGAGUGGAAGGAGCCGGCUGACUCUGUCCUCCACUUGCACUGGGAAACUUCCUUGCAUCAGGAGGAGCUUCUUAGUUUCACCUUUCUUUCUUUAAGUCCUCAACUAGAGAGAUAAUAACCUUUUCUUCCGUUUGAACGCACAUGGUUUCUGCAAGGAAAGUGCUUGAGCAAUUUGUCUUUAUAUUUUUUAUGUUUUUUUUUUUGUCUAAUCUCUAGUGAUUUUUUUCUCGA